rnacentral:rRNA from 1 species
UACGUAGGGUGCGAGCGUUGUCCGGAAUUAUUGGGCGUAAAGAGCUUGUAGGCGGUUUGUCGCGUCUGCUGUGAAAAUCCGGGGCUCAACCCCGGACUUGCAGUGGGUACGGGCAGACUGGAGUGUGGUAGGGGAGACUGGAAUUCCUGGUGUAGCGGUGGAAUGCGCAGAUAUCAGGAGGAACACCGAUGGCGAAGGCAGGUCUCUGGGCCACUACUGACGCUGAGAAGCGAAAGCAUAGGGAGCGAACAGG